AAUAAAUGGGUUUCUCCCACUUUAUUUCUCCCUUUGACUGAUUUCCAUUUCAAAGGUAUUUUGCCUGGAGAUUUCCCCACACACUUACAGUAAGGUUAUAUCUACCAUAGAUAAUGAUUCCUCUGACGAAUGUAGGAAAAGUUCAUUGAAAAUCUUCUGGAAAGGAUUCAUCAUUCUGGAUGCCAUUAAGCAUAUUUGUGAUUCAUGGGAAGAAGUCAAAAGGCCAACAUUGGCAGGAGUUUGGAACAAGUUAAUUCCAACCCUCAAGGAUGACUUUGAAGAGUUUAAGACUUCAGAGGAAGAAAUAACUGCGGAUGUGGUGGAAAUAGUGAGAGAACUCGAAGUAGAAGUGGGGCCCAAAGAUGUGGCUGAAUUGCUGCAGUCUCAGGGUGAAAUAUUAGCGGAUGAGGAGUUGCUUCUUACGAAUGUGCAAAGAAUGUGGUUCCUUGAGAUGGAAACUACUCCUGGUGAAGACGCUGUGAAAACUGUUGAAAUGACAACAAAGGACUUAGCAUAUUACACAAACUUAAUUGAUAAAGCAGCCAUAGAGUUUGAGAGGAGGGACUCCAAUUUCAAAAGAAGUUCUGCAGUGGAUAAAAUGCUAAUGAACAGCAUUGCAUGAUACAGAGAAAUCAUUCAUCAAAGGAAAAGUCAAUUGGUGCAGCAAACUUCAUUGUUGUUUUAUUUUAAGAAAUUGCCACAGCCAACCCCAUCUUCAGCCACCAACUCUCUGGUCAGUCAGCAGCCAUCAACAUUGAGGCAAGACCUUCUACCAGCAAAAGAUAACAACUCACUGAAAUCUCAGAUGAUGACUGGCAUUUUUUAGCAAUAAAGUGCUUUAAGAUGAGAAAACCAAGAUAAACAUGAGAACAGGUGAUUUUUUAUCUUCAGGUCACACAACUUACGAGCAAAAGAAAUACAAGGACAACUUAAAUAACUCAGAAGAAUGUGAAAGAACAGAAAGAAGCAUACACAUAAAGAAGUAACUAUACAACUCACUAUCAGAUGUUAGCAAACUCCCAAGGUAUCAAUAAAAGGUAAGCUCAGCUCUUAUACAGCAUAGAUUUUUAGACUGGGAAUAUUCUAUAAAUGGAAAUGUAAUUUGGUGCUAACUCUCCAAGAAAUACCAUGUUAAUGUACCAUGAACUCAGUUGAUUUACUUAACUAAAAAAUACCAUUUCUUGUAAUUUAUUCAAAAGAAGUAAUCAGAAAUCCAAUCAAAGAAAUAUACACUUUGGGAGAGAUACAUAACCUAUACACCUGGAAAUAUCCUAAAGUCAUCAAAAUAAAGCCUUAGUAUUCAAUAGCAUGAAAAUGCUUGUGUUAUAAUGCAGUGCAAAAAAUAACAGGUUCCCAAAACUCUUUAUGCAAUAAGAACUAAAGUUUUAAAAAUCGAAUUUUCUUU